GAUGAACGCUGGCGGCGUGCUUAACACAUGCAAGUCGAACGGAAAGGCUCCUGCUUGCCGGGGUCCUCGAGUGGCGAACGGGUGAGUAACACGUGGGUGAUCUGCCCUGCACUUCGGGAUAAGCCUGGGAAACUGGGUCUAAUACCGGAUAGGACGAUGGUUUGGAUGCCAUUGUGGAAAGUUUUUUCGGUGUGGGAUGAGCUCGCGGCCUAUCAGCUUGUUGGUGGGGUAAUGGCCUACCAAGGCGUCGACGGGUAGCCGGCCUGAGAGGGUGUACGGCCACAUUGGGACUGAGAUACGGCCCAGACUCCUACGGGAGGCAGCAGUGGGGAAUAUUGCACAAUGGGCGCAAGCCUGAUGCAGCGACGCCGCGUGGGGGAUGACGGCCUUCGGGUUGUAAACUCCUUUCGCUAGGGACGAAGCGCAAGUGACGGUACCUGGAGAAGAAGCACCGGCUAACUACGUG
rnacentral:rRNA from 1 species